AGAGUUUGAUCCUGGCUCAGAACGUACGCUGGCGGCACGCCUAACACAUGCAAGUCGAACGAAGUAGCAAUACUUAGUGGCAGACGGGUGAGUAACAUGUAGGUAUCUGCCCUUUGGCCUGGAAUAACACGAGGAAACUUGUGCUAAUACCGGAUAAGUCUUUACGGAGAAAGCUUUAUGCACCAUUGGAUGAGCCCGCACUUGAUUAGUUUGUUGGUGGGGUAAUGGCCUACCAAGACUGUGAUCAGUAGCUGAUUUGAGAGGAUGAUCAGCCACAUUGGGACUGAGACACGGCCCAAACUCCUACGGGAGGCAGCAGUGGGGAAUCUUGCACAAUGGAGGAAACUCUGAUGCAGCGAUGCCGCGUGAGUGAAGAAGGCCCUUGGGUUGUAAAGCUCUUUCGUCGGGGAAGAAAAUGACUGUACCCGAAUAAGAAGGUCCGGCUAACUUCGUGCCAGCAGCCGCGGUAAUACGAAGGGACCUAGCGUAGUUCGGAAUUACUGGGCUUAAAGAGUUCGUAGGUGGUUGAAAAAGUUGGUGGUGAAAUCCCAGAGCUUAACUCUGGAACUGCCAUCAAAACUUUUCAGCUAGAGUAUGAUAGAGGAAAGCAGGAUUUCUAGUGUAGAGGUGAAAUUCGUAGAUAUUAGAAAGAAUACCAAUUGCGAAGGCAGCUUUCUGGAUCAUUACUGACACUGAGGAACGAAAGCAUGGGUAGCGAAGAGGAUUAGAUACCCUCGUAGUCCAUGCCGUAAACGAUGUGUGUUAGACGUUGGAAACUUGUUUUCAGUGUCGCAGCGAAAGCGAUAAACACACCGCCUGGGGAGUACGACCGCAAGGUUAAAACUCAAAUGAAUUGACGGGGACCCGCACAAGUAGUGGAGCAUGUGGUUUAAUUCGAAGAUACGCGCAGAACCUUACCAACACUUGACAUGUUCGUCGCGACUUUAAGAGAUUAAAGUUUUCGGUUCGGCCGGACGAAACACAGGUGCUGCAUGGCUGUCGUCAGCUCGUGUCGUGAGAUGUUGGGUUAAGUCCCGCAACGAGCGCAACCCUCACUUUUAGUUGCCAUCAUUAAGUUGGGCACUCUGAAAGAACUGCCAGUGAUAAGCUGGAGGAAGGUGGGGAUGACGUCAAGUCCUCAUGGCCCUUACGUGUUGGGCUACACACGUGCUACAAUGGUAUCUACAACAGGAAGCAAGACGGCGACGUUAAGCAAAUCCUUAAAAGAUACCUCAGUUCGGAUUGCACUCUGCAACUCGAGUGCAUGAAGCCGGAAUUACUAGUAAUCGUGGAUCAGCGUGCCACGGUGAAUGCGUUCCCGGGUCUUGUACACACCGCCCGUCACACCAUGGGAGUUGGUUCUACCUUAAGGCAAGGUUUUAAACCCUUGACCACGGUAUAGUCAGCGACUGGGGUGAAGUCGUAACAAGGUAACC
rnacentral:rRNA from 1 species